GCAAGUCCAAGUCGAGUCUGAAGUCAUCAAAUUCAUGACCCGAGUCUGACUCGAGUCCAAGUCACAUGACUCGAGUCCACACCUCUGCAAGUCUUCUCGAGUCAAAAGGCGCAAGUCCAAGUGAAGUCACGAGUCAUUGAUGUUAAAGUCCAAGUCGAGUUGCAAGUCUUUGUACAUUUUGUCGAGUCGAGUCUGAAGUCAUCAAAUUCAUGACUCGAGUCUGACUCGAGUCCAAGUCACAUGACUCGAGUCCACACCUCUG